ensembl:snoRNA SNORD82 Small nucleolar RNA SNORD82
AGCACAAGUGAUGAAUGACAAAGGGACUUAAUACUGAAACCUGGUGUUGAGAUUCACUAUGUAUGCUGAUGUGC